rnacentral:rRNA from 1 species
UACAGAGGUCCCGAGCGUUGUUCGGAUUCACUGGGCGUAAAGGGCGCGUAGGCGGCAUGGCAAGUCAGGAGUGAAAGGCCUGGGCUCAACCGAGGAACUGCUUUUGAUACUGCCAAGCUAGAGUGCGGAAGGGGCAACUGGAAUUCCCAGUGUAGCGGUGAAAUGCGUAGAUAUUGGGAAGAACACCUGAGGCGAAGGCGGGUUGCUGGGCCGACACUGACGCUGAGGCGCGAAAGCCAGGGGAGCAAACGGG